CUAGGAAGGAGAACAGAUCCAAAGCACCACCACUCAAAGUCCUCCACCCAGCAGGAGCAAAGCUGGCAGUUUUCUGCCCUUAGCACAUGGUGCUGCCUAAUGAGGAUACAGAGCCAUCCAGCCCAGAGCCAGCCUUCUGCCUGGUCCAGGAACCGUCUUCUGGCAUGGAGAAAAAUGGCUGAGGAUUGAUGGGUUGGGAGCGUGGUGCCAGACACAUCCUGCUGCUCCAGCUCCUCUUGGAUCUGUCUGGAUCCCCUUCCUCCCUGCCCAGAAUUGUGCUUCCCAGGUGUAAAUGCUAUUAUGAAAAGGCAUAUUUGUGUUUCAUCUCACCUCAGAUGUACAGUAUGUGCUCACAUCCUACACCGUGCGUACAGCCCACAUCGCUCCAGAUCAAGGAGAAGAAAGGAAAAGGGGUAAAAAUAAUUAUCCCCACUCUAUCCUCAAAAACAGUGUUCUAGAGGACUUGGGACCUUAGUGGGGUCUCUG
rnacentral:lncRNA from 1 species